GGGUUGUGAGGUUAAGCGACUAAGCGUACACGGUGGAUGCCCUGGCAGUCAGAGGCGAUGAAGGACGUGCUAAUCUGCGAUAAGCGCCGGUAAGGUGAUAUGAACCGUUAUAACCGGCGAUUUCCGAAUGGGGAAACCCAGUGUGAUUCGUCACACUAUCAUUAACUGAAUCCAUAGGUUAAUGAGGCGAACCGGGGGAACUGAAACAUCUAAGUACCCCGAGGAAAAGAAAUCAACCGAGAUUCCCCCAGUAGCGGCGAGCGAACGGGGAGGAGCCCAGAGCCUGAAUCAGCAUGUGUGUUAGUGGAAGCGUCUGGAAAGGCGCGCGAUACAGGGUGACAGCCCCGUACACAAAAGCGCAUGUGCUGUGAGCUCGAUGAGUAGGGCGGGACACGUGGUAUCCUGUCUGAAUAUGGGGGGACCAUCCUCCAAGGCUAAAUACUCCUGACUGACCGAUAGUGAACCAGUACCGUGAGGGAAAGGCGAAAAGAACCCCGGCGAGGGGAGUGAAAAAGAACCUGAAACCGUGUACGUACAAGCAGUGGGAGCACCCUUCGGGGUGUGACUGCGUACCUUUUGUAUAAUGGGUCAGCGACUUAUAUUCUGUAGCAAGGUUAACCGUAUAGGGGAGCCGGAGGGAAACCGAGUCUUAAUUGGGCGUUAAGUUGCAGGGUAUAGACCCGAAACCCGGUGAUCUAGCCAUGGGCAGGUUGAAGGUUGGGUAACACUAACUGGAGGACCGAACCGACUAAUGUUGAAAAAUUAGCGGAUGACCUGUGGCUGGGGGUGAAAGGCCAAUCAAACCGGGAGAUAGCUGGUUCUCCCCGAAAGCUAUUUAGGUAGCGCCUCGUGAAUUCAUCUCCGGGGGUAGAGCACUGUUUCGGCUAGGGGGCCAUCCCGGCUUACCAACCCGAUGCAAACUGCGAAUACCGGAGAAUGUUAUCACGGGAGACACACGGCGGGUGCUAACGUCCGUCGUGAAGAGGGAAACAACCCAGACCGCCAGCUAAGGUCCCAAAGUCAUGGUUAAGUGGGAAACGAUGUGGGAAGGCCCAGACAGCCAGGAUGUUGGCUUAGAAGCAGCCAUCAUUUAAAGAAAGCGUAAUAGCUCACUGGUCGAGUCGGCCUGCGCGGAAGAUGUAACGGGGCUAAACCAUGCACCGAAGCUGCGGCAGCGAACGUAUCACCCAAGACAACUUUACGGAGUUGACGAUUGACGGAGCGAAGCGACGUCAAAGCGUUCAUUAAAGUCGAGUUGGCUUAGGGAUACGUUCGUUGGGUAGGGGAGCGUUCUGUAAGCCUGUGAAGGUGUGUCGUGAGGCAUGCUGGAGGUAUCAGAAGUGCGAAUGCUGACAUAAGUAACGAUAAAGCGGGUGAAAAGCCCGCUCGCCGGAAGACCAAGGGUUCCUGUCCAACGUUAAUCGGGGCAGGGUGAGUCGACCCCUAAGGCGAGGCCGAAAGGCGUAGUCGAUGGGAAACGGGUUAAUAUUCCCGUACUUGGUGUUACUGCGAAGGGGGGACGGAGAAGGCUAUGUUGGCCGGGCGACGGUUGUCCCGGUUUAAGCGUGUAGGUGUGUGUUCCAGGUAAAUCCGGUUCACUUUAACACUGAGGCGUGACGACGAGGCACUACGGUGCUGAAGCAACAAAUGCCCUGCUUCCAGGAAAAGCCUCUAAGCAUCAGGUAACAUCAAAUCGUACCCCAAACCGACACAGGUGGUCAGGUAGAGAAUACCAAGGCGCUUGAGAGAACUCGGGUGAAGGAACUAGGCAAAAUGGUGCCGUAACUUCGGGAGAAGGCACGCUGACACGUAGGUGAAGUGAUUUACUCAUGGAGCUGAAGUCAGUCGAAGAUACCAGCUGGCUGCAACUGUUUAUUAAAAACACAGCACUGUGCAAACACGAAAGUGGACGUAUACGGUGUGACGCCUGCCCGGUGCCGGAAGGUUAAUUGAUGGGGUCAGCGCAAGCGAAGCUCCUGAUCGAAGCCCCGGUAAACGGCGGCCGUAACUAUAACGGUCCUAAGGUAGCGAAAUUCCUUGUCGGGUAAGUUCCGACCUGCACGAAUGGCGUAAUGAUGGCCAGGCUGUCUCCACCCGAGACUCAGUGAAAUUGAACUCGCUGUGAAGAUGCAGUGUACCCGCGGCAAGACGGAAAGACCCCGUGAACCUUUACUAUAGCUUGACACUGAACAUUGAGCCUUGAUGUGUAGGAUAGGUGGGAGGCUUUGAAGUGUGGACGCCAGUCUGCAUGGAGCCGACCUUGAAAUACCACCCUUUAAUGUUUGAUGUUCUAACGUGGACCCGUUACCCGGGUUGCGGACAGUGUCUGGUGGGUAGUUUGACUGGGGCGGUCUCCUCCUAAAGAGUAACGGAGGAGCACGAAGGUUGGCUAAUCCUGGUCGGACAUCAGGAGGUUAGUGCAAUGGCAUAAGCCAGCUUGACUGCGAGCGUGACGGCGCGAGCAGGUGCGAAAGCAGGUCAUAGUGAUCCGGUGGUUCUGAAUGGAAGGGCCAUCGCUCAACGGAUAAAAGGUACUCCGGGGAUAACAGGCUGAUACCGCCCAAGAGUUCAUAUCGACGGCGGUGUUUGGCACCUCGAUGUCGGCUCAUCACAUCCUGGGGCUGAAGUAGGUCCCAAGGGUAUGGCUGUUCGCCAUUUAAAGUGGUACGCGAGCUGGGUUUAGAACGUCGUGAGACAGUUCGGUCCCUAUCUGCCGUGGGCGCUGGAGAACUGAGGGGGGCUGCUCCUAGUACGAGAGGACCGGAGUGGACGCAUCACUGGUGUUCGGGUUGUCAUGCCAAUGGCACUGCCCGGUAGCUAAAUGCGGAAGAGAUAAGUGCUGAAAGCAUCUAAGCACGAAACUUGCCCCGAGAUGAGUUCUCCCUGAGACUUAGAGUCUCCUGAAGGAACGUUGAAGACGACGACGUUGAUAGGCCGGGUGUGUAAGCGCAGCGAUGCGUUGAGCUAACCGGUACUAAUGAACCGUGAGGCUUAACCUUACAACGCCGAAG
rnacentral:rRNA from 1 species